ACACAUGUCUCUGCUCGUUCGGGGGCCGGUAUGCUACACGGAACGUGAGAGACCCCUCGGAACUGGCAUAGACUUGUGUAU
rnacentral:sRNA from 1 species